UACGAAGGGUGCAAGCGUUACUCGGAAUUACUGGGCGUAAAACGUGCGUAGGUGGUGAGUUAAGUCUGUCGUGAAAGCCCCGGGCUCAACCUGGGAAUGGCGAUGGAUACUGGCUCGCUAGAGUGCGGUAGAGGAGAGUGGAAUUCCCGGUGUAGCAGUGAAAUGCGUAGAGAUCGGGAGGAACAUCAGUUGCGAAGGCGGCUCUCUGGACCAGCACUGACACUGAGGCACGAAAGCGUGGGGAGCAAACAGG
rnacentral:rRNA from 1 species